rnacentral:rRNA from 1 species
GCGGUGGAUGAUGUGGAUUAAUCGAUGCAACGCGAAAACCUUACCUACCUUGACAUGUCCGGAAUCCCGAAGAGAUUUGGGAGUGCUCGCAAGAGAAUCGGAACACAGGUGCUGCAUGGCUGUCGUCAGCUCGUGUCGUGAGAUGUUGGGUUAAGUCCCGCAACGAGCGCAACCCUUAUCAUUAGUUGCUACGCAAGGGCACUCUAAUGAGACUGCCGGUGACAAACCGGAGGAAGGUGGGGAUGACGUCAAGUCCUCAUGGCCCUUAUGGGUAGGGCUUCACACGUCAUACAAUGGUCGGUACAGAGGGUUGCCAAGCCGCGAGGUGGAGCCAAUCCCAGAAAGCCGAUCGUAGUCCGGAUUGUUCUCUGCAACUCGAGAGCAUGAAGUCGGAAUCGCUAGUAAUCGCGGAUCAGCAUGUCGCGGUGAAUACGUUCCCGGGUCUU